rnacentral:lncRNA from 1 species
GAAAGAAUAAAAUACUAGGAGGAUCAAACACUAUCCACAAUACGAGUCCAUUAUACGACUUGUACCAAGCCCAAUUUCGUACCCAUCCUAAUAACCAAAACUAUCCCACCAAUUAACACUGGUUAACAUAUGACAAGACCAUACCACUCGUACCCCAGUAUACAGGUCGUACCCAUGAGUCGUAUUGAGUUCGAAGAAUGGAUUUCUAGGAAAUUUUCUAAGCGUUAAAACCC